UACAGAGGUCCCAAGCGUUGUUCGGAUUCACUGGGCGUAAAGGGUGCGUAGGUGGCAUGGUAAGUUUGAUGUGAAAUCUCCGGGCUUAACCCGGAAAUGGCAUUGAAUACUACUGUGCUGGAGGUUUGGAGGGGGGACUGGAAUUCUCGGUGUAGCAGUGAAAUGCGUAGAUAUCGAGAGGAACACCAGUGGCGAAGGCGAGUCCCUGGACAACACCUGACACUGAGGCGCGAAAGCUAGGGGAGCAAACAGG
rnacentral:rRNA from 1 species